rnacentral:rRNA from 1 species
UACGGAGGGUGCGAGCGUUGUCCGGAAUCACUGGGCGUAAAGGGCGCGUAGGUGGCGCGAGGAGUCUGUGGUGAAAGCCCGGGGCUCAACUUCGGGUCGGCCGCGGAUACUCUCGUGCUGGAGGGUGGUAGAGGCCAAUGGAAUUCCGGGUGUAGCGGUGGAAUGCGUAGAGAUCCGGAAGAACACCGGUGGCGAAGGCGGUUGGCUGGGCCACACCUGACACUGAGGCGCGACAGCGUGGG